AGCAGCCGCGGUAAUUCCAGCUCCAAUAGCGUAUAUUAAAGUUGUUGCAGUUAAAAAGCUCGUAGUUGAAUUUCGGGAUUGGCGCAUCGGUCGUGCCUCACGGGGUAUGAACUGGUGCAGUCAAUUUCUCACCUUCUGGAGAACCGCGAUGUCCUUAAUUGGAUGCCGCGGGGAACCAGGACCUUUACUUUGAAAAAAUUAGAGUGUUUAAAGCAGGCAUUUUUGCUUGAAUACAUUAGCAUGGAAUAAUAAAAUAGGACGGCAUGGUUCUAUUUUGUUGGUUUCUAGGACCACCGUAAUGAUUAAUAGGGAUAGUUGGGGGCAUUAGUAUUCAAUUGUCAGAGGUGAAAUUCUUGGAUUUAUUGAAGACUAACUACUGCGAAAGCAUUUGCCAAGGAUGUUUUCAUUAAUCAAGAACGAAAGUUAGGGGAUCGAAGACGAUCAGAUACCGUCGUAGUCUUAACCAUUAAACUAUNCCGACUAGGAUCAGACGAUGUUAAUUUUUAAUGUACUCGUUGGC
rnacentral:rRNA from 1 species